GACCCUCAUUUUACAGAAGAGGCGAGAUCUCAAGAAAUGAAGUUAAACGCCCAAGGCCAGAGACGAUGAUGGUGCUGGGUCGGUAACCCAGGUUUCAUAUUGUACUUCAGUAAAUGAGAUCAUUGCUUUUUUUUUUUUUAGGGACACUCAGAAAUGUUGCCGUGGAUGGAUUCCUCCCAAGGCUGGUCCUGACACAAAGAUUCAAGUGUAAGGAGUGUAUUUGGGAAGCACGGGAGCAGAGUGGGUAAGUGAGACAGGGAAGGGAAAGCAGUCCUAAAGGGAAGGUUAUCACACAGGUUCCCACCACGGGUCACAGGAGUUCAAUCUUGCCGGGAGACUCUGGGGGAUAAUGUAAAACACAGCUCAGAGCUGUCCCAUCUGAGGGGUGAGGAAGCUGGGGUAUUAAUCCUCCAAUCCUCCAAUUUCAUUCUUCAUUGCCUGAAGCCUCUAGCGAGAACAUUCAUUCCCAAGCACUUUGGGCCUGCCCUGCCCGCAGGCUGAGAAAAAAACUCUCAGACCAAGAACCGUAGCUACUGGGAGCAGGACGCUGUCCAGGUACGCAUGAGAACGUGAAUGUCAAGAGCACACAGGUAGGCAUCAGGAGCAGCUGUCAGAGACGCAAAGACCCACACUGAACGGCGAGUCCAGUCACGUAUUCAGUUCAUGAAUCAAACACCCUGGGCUUGUAGAAAUUGCUGGAAAUUAUUUUUAAAUACUUAUCUUUAUGCUUGGAACCGUUUAUGCCAUUCAGUUUUGGACCCCCUCCCCCCUCCAAAGCAGAGUUGUCCCUCGUGAAGCCACAGGCCCUGGGGAGUUGCCAUUUACGGGGCCGCCAGACCCACAGCUGCACUUUUUAUUCCUCUCUUUGAAGCGGUUGCUGCUUUCCCAGCCCUAGUCCCUAACUUUCAAAACAGGAGAGCUCAAACAACCCCAACUCCACCAAAGGCCACCAAGGUCUCUAACCACGCUGGUUUCUGAGGGUGUGUGCAGGGUGAGCAAAGGUAGCGAUGGGCCUGGGGGAAGAAAGGCGUGGCAUCACUUCCCAGAAUCCAGUGUUCUGGGCACCACCAGCCACACCGGCCUCCUCGCCACCUUCUUCGGGCCGCAUUCUCUAAGGUGCUGCCACUGAAACAUACAAUUUUCCGCCCCUGACAUCAGGUCGUGUUGCCAACCCUCUGAGUUCCUUCCAAAGACCCAUCAGCUGCCAGGGCAUCAUGAGUGUGACCUGGGAAAAGUGUGUUAACGUAGGGGGAGACACACACACACACACACACACACAAUGACCUUUCAGCCUGCAGACUCUGAAGAAGCCUUUCUUUCUCUCAGUAGGUGAGAGAAAUCAUCAUCAAAGGAAGAACACGGUGAAAUAUCACACUCAUAGACUCCCUUAAUUUGGCUUUGUAAUUAACUGUGUUAAGUGCUGACAAGACUUUUGCAGAGAAAAUGCAUACUAACGGGAAGAGAGGGCAAACCGACAACCUAUUGGACGCUUUGGUAUUUACGUCCCGUCAUCUUCAAAAUGGCCCUCAGAAUAGGCAUUACUACUAACCCCAUUGUACGGGCCACAAAACAAGAUGGAGAGAGGCCUGCCCAAGGUCACGGAAGCCAAGGGACUACAUCGGUGCCCACCUUCCUAGGGGGAGUCAGCCUUGUGUGCUCAGUACUCGGAAGUGAUGACUCCCUGGUUGCUUGAAACAUGUUUUUUUAAACCCCUAACUUAAAAGACAAUAGCCUUAUAAAAAAGGGUGUCGAAAACUAUGCAAAGGACUUAAGAGUAAUAAACCGUCUAACCACACGCGCUCAUGCACUUGAGAAGAUUCCAUAUAAAGCCACUGUCAGUGACCUUCCCUUUUGCAAGAGCUUUGACCUGCCCACAUUUCUUCGAUGCCCCAGCACUCGAGCGUGCCGGAGAGGGCAGACGUCUGCCAGCAACUUAAGAGGCCAUUUUGGCGAUGGUUGUUGUUCAUCAUAGAAAAUUCCACACAGGUCUUUGGUAGGCACUGCUCUGCAGGCCCGAUACUCGUGGUACCAGGAGAUUCCGCAUCUCUACAUUACAGGCCUCGUGCCAGGUGCAGUUCUAUGGGUAGGUAAAUGAUUCCCAUUUCACAGAUGAGGAAACUGAGUCUCAGGGAGGUCAGACAAGUGCCCGAGUCGUGCACCAGUGAGCGGCAGGGACAGGAUUCGAUCCUAGGCGAGCAGUCUGUUUACCCUAGCCCCCAGCUCCAGCCCCAGCGCCUUCCUUGGGCUGGGCUCUUUCCAACAAGGCUGACAUUUUCACUGAAGUACCCAAAUCUCACCUCUUCCCUGGAGACAGUCUACAAAAAUCGCCUCAUGGUAACGUCUCAUGCUCUCUGAAGCAAGGUGAGGGGAGAGCAGCUCAAAGCACACUUCUGGUGCCGCCCGCCCGCCCGCCUGCCUGCCUGCCUGCCUUCCUGCCUGCCUGCCUCCCUGCCUGCCUGCCUUCCUUCCUUCCUUCCUUCCUUCCUUCCUUCCUUCCAUACUGUUACUGAAUCCUCCUUCCUGCUACUCAACUCUCCCGGGGCCGUGCUGUCUGCCUCCUGUCCCCUCAAGGGCAGAAACUGCAUUAUUUCAUGUCUGUUUCCUGGGGCUCCAGCACCGACCAGCACAUCAUCAGGGCUGAAGAAGUGUGCCUGGAUGGAUUGAUUAAUUUACAUAGAAAUGGCUUCCGCUUUGUCCUAAUUAAAGCCAGAGCAAAGAAGCCUUCCUGACCUCCAGGGCUGAUUCAUGCUACCAAUUAUGGAGACAUUCCGAGCCGAAUUCUUAUAUAUUUAAGACAAUUUUGAAAAGGCAAUUGUUAAAGGUUUGGAGGGGAGUCUGCUUUUGUGUUUUCCAGUAUAUUUUAGGAGACCCCCAAUUCCCCACACACUCUAUAUGAGGCGGAUGGUCCACCCAAGUAUUUAUUGGGUACAUUCUAGAUGCCAGCUCCCGAGGACACGGGGAUCAACACACAUGAAUCAGGUCCCUGCUCCAUGGGCGACACGGUCCAGGAGAAGAGACACACGAUGAUUCAACCAUCGCAGUUUGUGUAAGUGCCAAGGGCAGAAAGCGGAUCUCUAACAAAGGAACGUCACCAGUUAGGGAGGGGUCAGAACAGACCUCCCUGGGAAGGCUGAGGAGUCAUCUGAGGGCAGGAAUCAGGUCUGGUGAGGGUGGGGAGAGCGUUCGGCUGGUGCAGAAGCCCUGUGGGGACCUGAGAGUAGGCGGUGUGGUUAGAGCAGAGCGCAGAGCAGGUGAGGGCGGCAGGGAGGAAGACACGGUGGGCUGGGCCCACCCACAGCGUCUCCGGGGCCAAGCUCAGGAUUGUAGACUAAGAUUAGUGGGUAACAUCCCCAUUUCACGGAUGAGGAAAUAGAGACGCAGAGAUGUCAAGUGACUUGCCCCGAAUUAAGCGGCAGGGUUGGGAUUCAAACGCAGACAGUCUGGCUUCAAAGCAAGGUGUGAAGGUAUUGGAGGCUCUGUGAUACAUCAGGUGAUCGCACAGGGCUCUCGUACGAGAUGUGUAAAAUGCUUCCAUGGACAAAUCUCUGGGGGGGGGGACUGCAGUGGUAUAAGGCAAUCAUUAGCCAUUGAAAGGGCUGGAGCUGUUGGGGGAAGGGGUGGCAGUGGGGAGCCUGGGGCUGGAGGGUGGAAAACAGAAGAGGAAGUCGAUGGGGCUAACGGGAAAGCCCUGCCGGGACACCUGCCGGAGGAGACAGGCUGGGACCCCAGCGGCCCAGCAGCAGAGAAACAGAGGGGAUGAAGCUCCCCCAGCUGCCACCGAAGAGCCAGAAGCUGCAAGGAUGAAAGGCACAGGUCAACAGGGGCCACCAAAGAGGGAAACAAACAAACAACAGAAGUAAACGGGAUGCAGUUGGGUUUUAGCCGACCUCCGGUCCUAUGGACUCCAUACCAUCACCUCCCAAACAAGAAAUCUCGUGAGAACAAAACUUACAAGCUCUCUGGGGACGAAUCAAAUCCUGAUGAGAAUGCCCCCACCCCCCAUGCUUUUUAAGAGCUACUGUGAGCUGAUUUUUUUAAGGAAAAUGUGCGAAGCGGCAAGAAGUGAAUAAAUAAUUCAAAGACUCUGAGUUGGAGUCUGUAUGGACCCUGGGCAGCUUGGGUUCAUUUCGGUUUUACGCUGCUUGUCUGCACUGGGAAUGUGCAGGGAGCAAAUUUUUUCCCCUAGAAAAACAGCGCGUCAGCUCUCUUUGCCGGCUCAGUAACACUAAAGGCAUUGCAGCGUUAGCCAAACUGAAGCCAAAUGAAGUCAUCCACCGCAUGUGACACUUCCUUGUCCCCCGACUGCUCUGCAUUUCUCCUUUGAUCGCUCUUCCUAAGUGUGCCUGUGUUUUCCUGUGUUUCUUAUACGUACAACACAUCGGCUUCUCGCUAGCGAUUUUUAGCUCUCUGACACACAAUAAAAGCAUCCGUUUCCAGCUCA